GCCAGCAUGGUAUAGUGGGUUGAGCAUGGACUAUGACUCUAGUGAGCAGGGUUCAAAUCCCAGUUUGGCC